rnacentral:rRNA from 1 species
GUGCCAGCGCCGCGGUAAUACCGGCAGCCCGAGUGAUGGCCGAUCUUAUUGGGCCUAAAGCGUCCGUAGCUGGCUGCGCAAGUCCGUCGGGAAAUCCACUCGCCCAACUACUGGGCGUCCGGCGGAGACUCCGAGGCUUGGGACCGGAAGGCUCGAGGGGUACGUCCGGGGUAGGAGUGAAAUCCCGUAAUCCCGAACGGACCACCGAUGGCGAAAGCACCUCGAGAAGACGGCUCCGACGGUGAGGGACGAAAGCUAGGGUCUCGAACCGGAUUAGAAACCCUAGUAGUCC